GUAUCCCACCUCCCACCCCCAGCACGGCAGUGGAGAUGAUCAAGGACGAAAGCAGAAAGGCUGCCUCAUGCAAACUGUCCCUACUCCCACCCAGGGGCCAAAGGACUUGAGCCGUCCUCUCAUCAGGCACUGAGCGGGCAGAGAAGUGGCACAAGCUCUGCCUCCCUGCCUGGCCCGUGACCCAGCGUGUUGCUAGGAAGGAAUGUGUUUGUGCAGGUGGCGGCAGAGCUGACCUCCAGGGGUCUGGCCCUUGGGUCACCUGCUUGUCCCCCAGGAGGCCUGGCUGGGCCCCCAGCCUUUCACCUGGGUCUUGCAUCUUGGAAUCCCCCUGCCCCACCAAGAGCAGGCAGUGCCAGCUCCCUGGCCUUUUCCUCAGAGGUGGGGGUGGAUCCCUUGGUCCACUUCCUCCCUGACCGCUCAGAGCUGGCCUAGCUGCUGUGAGUCAGCUGUUCUCCCCCGCCCUGCGAGACAGGGACCUCCGAGGCCGAACACUACCUUGUUUGAU
rnacentral:sRNA from 1 species